UACGAACUGUGCAAACGUUAUUCGGAAUCACUGGGCUUAAAGGGUGCGUAGGCGGCUAUUUAAGUAGGGUGUGAAAGCCCCCGGCUCAACCGGGGAAUUGCGUCCUAAACUGGAUGGCUCGAGUGAGAUAGAGGUGUGUGGAACUUCCGGUGGAGCGGUGAAAUGUGUUGAUAUCGGAAGGAACGCCGGUGGCGAAGGCGGCUUUCUGGGUCUUACCUGACGCUGAGUGAGCGAAAGCCAGGGGAGCAAACGGG
rnacentral:rRNA from 1 species